CCAGCUCACAUCUUUAAGAGUGCUCAGUCUGCGGGUUUCGUUCUCUGCGAACAUUCACGACAAUCUAUGUUGUUCGUUGUCGACGAAACCUGAAAAUUGUGCAUAUCAAACUGCAAAUGUCUGGG
rnacentral:precursor_RNA from 8 species